rnacentral:lncRNA from 1 species
GCGUGCUUAGGGUUUUUCAAUUCUUUUCCUCCAUUUUCAAUCGUAGCCGCCUGUCCUUCGUCUGUAAAUCUUCGAUCUUUCGAUGCCGCUCCACAAUUAGGGUUUCUUCUUCUUCAAUGUCUCUGUUGAUCCUCCAUCUCUGUGUUUUUCGAUGGAUUAUCCGUAUUGCUAUCAGUUCAAUCUUAAUAGGUAUGUUAUUCAAUCUCAUCUAAGUUGACUUUUCUUUUAAUCAGUGGUCAAAACCUUUCGUAUGAUGAAUUUGUUCAGAUCUGUGUUGAAGGAUGUGCGAACAGAGAUCUAGGGUUAGAUCUGGCAAAAGUUUUGGAUGAUUUUGGAUCUGUUAUUGUGUUAGGAGUUUUCUUUUCAAUGUAUGAAUCUGGUUCGUCAAUCAAAGGGGUAUACUUCUUAUUUGGGAAGAUAAUUGAUUAUCUCGCAGUCAAUCAAGAUCAAAGAUGGAAAGAAACUUCAGCGAAACAGAGUAAUGGUUCCUCAAGCCCU